rnacentral:lncRNA from 1 species
UGGAGUUGCCUAGCUUGCCGUUUCCUCCUUCUCAUCCUUUUCUCUUGUGCGUGUGUUUUCUCAGAGAGAGCCCUUGCGGGGCCCUGGCUCCACCGAAUGAAUUACAGGAAACUGGCCAGGGCAUGCUCGCUCUCCCUCCGUUCCUAGAGAGUCAGAAAGCCUGGGAAUGGGUUUGGCAAGAAGGUCUCUGUACCCCCAACCUCAAUCGCUUCCCGCGCCUCCCACUUCCCCGCCCAGACGGCAAGUGCAAAACCUGCGUCCUUUGCUCUCUGAGGUGCUUCAGGAUCACCCCCCAUUCCCCAGGCCAGAGGGCAUCCUCCUUGAGCCUUGUUUCAGAAAGGGGGACCCAAAAGUUGUUGGAAGAGACAAGUAGGGAUCCCGGGCGGCUCUCUCCUCCCUCUGCCCCUGUCUUGGCCACAGCCUGCCAGCCUCUCCACUGAUGUGCCCGUCCUUCCUGCCACAGCCUUUGUUCAUGCCAGGCGCCAAGUCCCCACUGGGAAGUCUGAAAGAGUGACCGGUGGUUCUCCCUCUUUCUAACUGUCCUGUCUCUCAAUGCCGCCUCCUUUCCUUCUCAAAGACAACUGGAUGUUGUUGCUGAUUUUUUUGGAAUGAGGUCAGUGCACGUUGUUUUCCCCGAGAAUGUUCUACUGUGCUUAGAGACACAGGGAGCAGGGCAGAAAGAAGAAAGGAAUCUGCACGUUCCAUGGCACUUGUGUCCCUCCAAUCUUAGCGUCACCCAAACCUGCCAAUACGAUUUCCUUCCAGGCUUUUCACACUUACAUGGCCUGUCACAGGUCUGUGACUUUUAAGUGAGCUUUGAAAAAAAAUAAAAAACCUCAAAGGCUGAACUAAAAGAAAGAACAGGGCACGAAGCACGUAGCCAACCAUGAUAGUGAAAAAGGAGAAGGUCUGCAGUUAUUUGAUGGAUGUUCUGCAUCUCACGUGCUUACAACUUUAUACUUGCACACCCCAAGUCUUAAGCCAAGCUUCAAUCUCAUUUUAAAAGGGCCAUUGGGGGAGGGGGUGCCUGGGUGGCUCAGUCAAUUAAGCCUCCGACUUCAGCUUAGGUCAUGAUCUCCAUGAGUUCGAGCCCCGCAUUGGGCUCUGUGCUGACAGCUCACAGCCUGGAACCUGUUUUGGAUUCUGUGUCUCCCUUUCUCUCUACCCCUUCCCCGCUUAUGCUGUAUCUCUGUCUCUCUCUCUCUCUCUCUGAAAUAAAUACACAUUAAAAAAUUAAAAAAGAAAAAAAAAGGGUCAUUAGGGGGCCCCAAGGCCCCCCAACCAACUCUUGUUGGCCCUGUUAAGCCUCUGAGAAUUUAUUUAUUUAUUUAUUUAUUUAGAGAGCACACAUGCACGCGUGAGGAUCCCUGUGUGCUUAGGCACGCAAGUAGGGGAGGGGCAGAAAGAAGGGGUGAGAGAAUCCCAAGCAGGCUUUGCUUUGCACCGUUCAGCACAGAACCGGACCUCACGAACCGUUCAGUCAUGACCUGAGCAGAAAUCAAGAGUCCCCCGCUUAAUCAAGUGAGCCACUCAAGUGCCCUUAGCAUCUGAGAAUUCAGAUAUCUCUCCCGAGCAAGUAGAAUGGUAAUUCCCACCCCUCACUCCAUAUGGCAUCUAAAUGAUGACGAUAAAUGAAUGACAGUAUAUUCAGUGUCCCUCACAGACUAUGGGCUUCCUCACAGUAUGGUGGCCUAAGGAAGUCAGACUGCCAAUACAGAAUCUGAAGGUUUUAAGAGCAAGUACUUUAGCAAGCGCAAUGGAAAUACCGUUGCCAUCUUUUUUUUUUUGACUUUGGUUUGGAAGUUACACAGCAUCAUUCUUGCUAUGCUCAGUUAGACCAAAUAAUCAGAAAACCUUGCCCAGUUUUAGGGGGAGGGAACAUAAACGCUCCUCCUGAUGAGAAGGGUGUGAAAAAAUUUGUGGACCUAUUAUACGAUAUUGACUGACAACCUCUUUGUCUUGCAGUGAAGUUGUUUUUUGUUUUUUGUUUUUUUUUUCCCCCACCCUGAUCUUUCCAAUUCUUCUGAUUGGUCUAUCUUCAGCUUCUAACUUCCAUGCCUCAAAUAACGGCUAUUUCCUCAUUGAAAAUUUUAGUAAGUGAGGUAGCUAGACUUCAGAGGUGGCUGCCUGAGGAACCACAUCUCCCAGUAUUGUGCUCUCGUGCAGUCCCUUCCCACCCUGAGUCUGGGCUGGCACUGUGGAGGAAGUGAUCCUGUAUGACUUCCAAGGUUAGGUUUUCUUUUCUUUUCUUUUCUUUUCUUUUCUUUUCUUUUCUUUUCUUCUUUUCUUAAGUUUAUUUAUUUUUGAGAGAGAGAGACACAGAGCAUGAAUGGGGGAGGGGCAGAGAGAGAAGAAGGCACAGAAUCCCAAGCAGGCUCCAGGCUCUGAGCUGUCAGCCCAGAGCCCGAUGUGGGACUCGAACUCACGAACCAUGCGAUCAUGACCUGAGCCCAGGUCAGCCACUUAACCGACUGAACAACCCAGGUGCCCCCCAAGAUUAGGUCUUAAGAAGCCUGGCUGCUUCCACCUAGGUCUUUGGAAAUGCUCAUUCUGGGGAAAGUCAGCCAUCAUAUAAGGAAUCUAACCCAAGACCAACAUGCUUUAAGGAAUGUAGUCACAUGGAGGAACCAGCAAAAGAGAGCAAAAGUUUGGCUAGCUUCCAGUGAUUUCAGCCGUCCUAGUCUGGUGGCCAGACACGUAAAUGUGGAAGCCAUCCUGGAUGCCCAGCCUGGUUGAACAUUCAGGUGACUCCAGCCCAGCUCCCUUCUGAUUGCCUUCACAUUUAGGACGCCAAGGAAGAACCACCCAGAUGGGUCCAGUCCACCUUCAGAAUGUUGAGCGAUAAUAAUAAAUCAUUACUUUAAACAACUAAAUUUUGAGGUAGCAAUAGACAACCAGAAUACCAGGUUCUAUCAGUUCUACCCCAGAAUGUCUCUCAAAUCUGGUUCUCUCGGUGAACCUUCAACAUCAUUUAUUUGUUAAGGCAAAGCUUGCUUUCUGGUUUCUGAGCAAGGACUCAUGAUUUUAAGGGAGUUGGUCUUAGAGGUAAGAUACGCUCACAAGUGCCUAUAAAAUAAAGAUUGGUACAGAAAAAAAGGUGCCAUGAGAGCUCAGAAAAGAGAGGGAGAGAAUUACUGCAGCCUGAACCUGGGAGGCCUGAGGAGGAGGUAAUAUUGAAUUGGAUCUUGAAGGCCAAUUGGCCAUUUGUGGCUUUAUUUUAUAGAAACAGGGGGCUACUAAAGGUUUCUGAGCAGGAAGGUGAUGUGAUCAAAAAUACGGUUCAUGAAAAUGAGUCUGAAAAUGAUGUAUGAAGUCAGUUGCAUUUGGGAGACACCAGACAGGGUUGGUCAAUGGAGGUAGAGAAACCAGUAAAGAAACUAUCAUGAAAAUCCAUGGUAGAACAAAGAAUCCUCGAGCCAGGGCUGUUGUAGUGAGAACAGGGGGAUGAGAAUAUAUUUAAGAGACAUUCCAAAGGUUGAUAUGACUGUGAAACAUUAUUUUUUUUUCACGUACAUGUAAUGAUAAAAUUAUUAACAUCAAUUCCCCUAUUCCUGGAAUAAAUGAAAACAAAAUGAUCCCACAGCUUUCACUCUGGAAGGAAAUGUGUUUUCUUUAAAAGAAAGUACCUUUAAAAAAUACUUUAUGUUCUGUGAGAAAAAAGUAAAUUGAAUCCAUGACUUAAAAUAUGUGUGAUCACAGAUGACACGUCUGAACGCUUACAGCCCAGUUCUAAUAUAUUUACAUUGAUGUACAGUUUUUGUCACUCAUCCAUCCCUCUGGAACGUUAGUAGUGUAAAACACUUCUCCCCUCACCCUCCAAAAAAGAAAAUCAGGGCAAUACCGUUACUGAUUUCAAAACCCACAGAGGCCGUUGUUGGGGAAAUAUGGUUGCUCCAAACAUUCUUUAAAGUAUGAGCUCCCUCUAGUGGCCAAAAUACUCUUUACGCUUGACCAAAUCUGCCCCAUGCUUUUAUAUUUAAAUAAUUUUCCUGAGCGAAGUUUAACUUCCUCUAGAACUGAAUUUGCACUUUUAAAUUUCUCUUUGCUUUGUAUUAAACACGAUCCAUAAUAUUCGUGGUGAAUCUCAACAUCUACUAUUAGAGCUGUAAUUUGUAGCUAUCAGUUUUCAAUAACGUGUUUAUUUUGUUUCACACCACACCCAAACACCGUUAUCACCUAAUUAAUGUAAAACUAAUUUCUUCUAAAUUUUCUAAGACAGCGAGGUCAUCAUUUGUCACUCUAUAAAAUGUCCUCACUGAGGAGCCCAUAUCCUCUUAAAACCAGUUCAAGUUGAAACCAUUCCCAAAAUAUACAUUUCCCAUUGGAAUCCCAUCAUUCCUUUAGGAAGAGGUCACUCAGCGCAUUCCACUAAAGUCACCUCUCACACCAGGGAGUGGGGUCAUGCAAAGCCCUUGAGAAGAAAGCAGUGGCAAGGGAUGGGGAGAGAGAAAAGAAAGACUAAUACUGAGUGCCUACUGUGUGUCAGGUGUUAGGUUUUUUACUUUACAUUUGCCAUCUCAUUUGAAGCCCUACAGAGAUGUUCUGUUUCUCUUCUAUUCAACGUAACAUUUUCAAACUCUUACUCAUCAUAAUGAGGCACAGAAGUAAAGCAGACAUCAUCUCCAUCUUUAAGGUGCUUAGGGCCAAGCUGGGGGCACAGACAAGGAAAGAGAUGAGUGGAGCUCACCAGGCAGGUACAAGCCCAAGCACUGGAGGAACCUCAGGAGUGGCUCUUGGCCCCAAGUGGGGAGGGGGCUGCUGAACAACAGGGAAGACUUCCCUUCUCGGAGAAAGGGCUCCUAAGUUCAAUCUGGAAGGAUGCUGAGGAGCCAGCCAGGCAGAGGGACAGUAUGUCUAAAGGUCUGGAGUCAGAACGGGGCAUUAGUUCAGGUUGGCUGACACUUAGGGAGUGGGUGAAUGAUUAAUAUCCCAUUUUCCAGAUGACCUAUUUGACACUCUGAAAUGGUAAUUAAGAAUCCUGCCAAGACAGAAGUGGGGCCUCAGUGAUUGCAUCACUGCCUGCUCGUUCACCUCUACCUUUUUUACGGUGGGGGUGGGGGUGGGGGGUGGCGGGGCGGGGGNGGGGGACAUGACAGUCCUGACUGAUCAAGGCUAAUGCCAAGCGUAGUAUAUUCACAGUAAGUAAUUACGGCCCACCUCUGAAAAUACCUCCAUCUUUGAGGUUAAAAAUGGCCAGUUGUUUGUUUUAAGCAAAAGCAAACAUUAGAAGUGGUUUGCUAGACAGCUAUAAUGAAAAUAUACAGCUAGCGUUAGGAGUGGAAAGAGUGCGUGGCUUUUUCCCUCAAAGGGUGUCCAGCCUUAGAUCCUGACCUUAAGUUCUGAUACAGCUGCCUCAUCCUGGCCGUAUUACUCAGUGGAACUGCAUCUUACAGCAAAGACAUAAAGUGAACAGAAAAGCUAAAGAUUGUGUGUAGUCAAAAUUACCCUUGAAACUCCCUUAAAUAAGCCAUAAAAUGACUCAUAUAAACACAGAUAUGUAUAUACAACCCAGUGCCAUGAGGUGAGAGAGCGACUCAGCUAAACUAUGAGGAGCACAAAAUUAGAGCCUAUAUGCAGGUGUGCGGUUAUUCAAUCCACUCUGCCUUUAAGAGAGUUGUCAAAUCCCAGUUAAUGGGGCAAUCAGUGGCGAAUUCUAAAUAUUCCCGCUUGUCUGCACAGUUUAUUUCAUUCUGUAUUCACAUAAAUCCUCUUCAACUUCAUAUAUUAUUUUAUUCACUGUUCUAAUUCAAUUCUUUCAGUUUAGGACAGAUGCUUUGUUGCCAUUGUAAAGAUCCAACCAGAUGUUACAUAGGACUAUAACUUGCACGUUAACUACCACGUAAUAGACGCUCAAUAAUGUUUGCUGGAUUUAAAUCUGAAUUUGGUUUUCUUGGGCUCAUACUCACAUAUUCUUUGAGAAGUUGUGGAAAAGCAUUUGGACACCUUCUUCCUGUCUUCCUGCUUGGCAUUUCAUGGAUGGUUCUCUUGUAUAUAAAUCAGUUUCAUAACCUAGGGCAUUGAUUGUCUUCCUGAGUAUAGUUGGGCCUACCAGGGGUUUCUAAAGUCAGUCUCAAGUGAUGGACUUUAAUUAUAGCUCCCUUUCUUUGAAUUUUGAGGACAAUUCUUUAAUUAUAUAGCUGGUCCGUGUCAAUAAGUGUUAUCAGAUGCUGUAAGAAAAAGGGUAGGCAGUCUAACUCUCUAAUAGGGCUUUAGCCCUGACUUUUCUAAAGUAACUAUAAACACAUGGCACAUCAAAAUUCUAUCCAAGAAACUUUCUAUGUCCCAAGCACUCGCUGAAACACAACAGGGGACAAAGAAAUGAAUAAUAGAUUGUCCUCUGAUCCUAAAGAGAAUAUUUCUUUCUUUUUCCCUUUUUUAAACAUAAAGGCAAUUAUCUUCGGUAAGAUGCACUCAUACAGUGAAACCAUAGUCUGCUUCUCUCUGCUCCUUAAAUUAAAUUAAUACUUAAUCAUAAAAUUAAUUAUUGAUUGUUAAGUUAAUUAGCACUUCUCUAAAAAUUCUUUUGAAUUUAAUGACUAGAUUAAGGGUUUUUUCAGUAUUCUAGCUUCAUGAUUGUUAAGAAUAUUAAUAAAAGUUAAUAUAGCUUAAUUUAUCCAAUGUUCUAGCUCAUCUGUUCUAAUUAAGAAUAUCUGACAACUCACUAAUAAGGAAAUCAGUUUAGAGGCAUUUUUAUGUAAACACUUUUGUCAUUUCAAUACAUUGUUAUCACUAUAUCAGGGGAAAAAACAAGAAUCUAUUUUUUUUGAAUAGAAAGGUAUUAAAAAUAGAUUUUUUUUCCUCUUCACAUGAAUCAGAAAAAGAAUGAUAAUGUAUGGACUUAAUUUUUUCUCCAAUCAGAUAGGCGUUUAAUGGUAUGGUUAUAAUUUGCAAUUCUCAGGCUACUUAUAGAUUUUGGUAUUUUUCAUAUCUUUAUCAGCCAUUUGAUUUCUUCUUCUGUGAGGUGCCUAUUCAGGUCUUCUGGUCAUUUUGUUUAUUGAUUUGUACUAGUAUUUAACAUUCUGGAUACCAGUUUUUUUGUUUGUUUUGUUUUAUUUGUUUGGUUUUUGGUUAUAUGUAUUCUAAAUACUUUCACCAUUCUGCUUCUGUCUUUAAUUUUUAAAGAAAUAGACAUUUUUAAUUUAAUGUCUGAAACAAGUCUUUAUUUAGAUUUUGUUUUAAAAGGUAUUUUUGCUGGGUAUAGAAUUCUAGCUUGACUGUUUUUCUUUCCAUGUUUUAAAGAUGCUGCUUCACUCUCUCCUGGUUUGCAUUGCUUCAAACGAGAUAUCUACUGCCAUUCUUAUCUUUUUCUGUAUAUAAUGUGUCUUCUUUCUGUAGUUGCUCUUGAGAUUUUCAUCUUUAUCACUUGUGAUCAAUCUAUUAUAUUCCUUGGUGACAUUUUCUUCAUGUUUCUUGUGCUAAAGGUUUAUAAACUUCUUGGAUGUGUGGGUUUAUAGUUUUUAUCAAAUUUAAAAUGUUUUUAGUCUUUAUUUCAUCAUAUACUGUUUCUACUGCCACUUUUCUCCUUCAGAGACUAGAAUCACGGGUAUAUUAGGCCCCUUAAUGCAGUCCUGUGGUGCAGUAGAAUUCUGUUUUUCCCAGUCUUUCUCUGUAUCUCAUUUUGAAUAGUUUCUAUUGCUUGUCUAUUAAUCUUUUCGUCUGCAAUGUUUAAUCUGCUCUUACUCCCAGCCCGUGUUUUCUCAAUUAAGUCACUGUAUUUUUUCAUGUCUAGAAAUUCUAUUUGGAGACAGCUGGGUGGCUCAGUAGGUUUAAGCAUCUGACUCUUGAUUUCAGCUCAGGUCAUGGUCUGUUUCGUGAGUUUGAGCCCCACAUUGGGCUCUGCACAGACCUCAUGGAGCCUGCUUGGGGUUCUCUCUCUCUCUGCUCUUCCCCCCUGCUCACAGACUCUCUCUCAAAAUAAAUAAAUAAACUUAAAAAAGGAAGUUCUAUAUGAGUAUUUUUCAUAUCUUUGAUGUCGUUAUAUAACAUGUUUAAUCCUGUUUCUAUCAUCUUAAACAUGUGGAAUAUAGUUAUAAUAAAGGUUUUAAUCUCUUGUGUACAUAUCUAAUUUUCUCAUCUGUAUAGUUUAUAGGUCUGUCUGCAAUCAUUGCUUUUUCUUUUCAUUUUGUCUUUUUCUUUCUUUUUUUUCCUCUUUCUUUCUUUCUUUCUUUCUUUUUUUUUUCUUGCCAGACAUUAUACAUUAUACUUUGUUAGGGACUAGUUUUUUCUGUUCCUAUAAAUAAUCUUAAGCUUUGCUCUGAGAUGUAGUUAAUGGGAAAAGCCUGGUCUUUUUUCAAUUUUGUUAGAUGACACCAAGCAGCCAUUAGUCUGGAGCUGAUUUUGUGCCAUCACUAAGGUGAUGCUCUUCUGAGAACUUUAACUGAUGCUACAUGAAUUAUGCAGUUUUCUAGUGUGGCUGCUGGAAACAAAAACUAUUUCUGGCUGUGUUGAGCUCCAAGUUGUAUUCUCUCUGCUUCUUUUGGACAGUUCUUUCUGUCAGCUGUCAGAAAUUUGUGAGAAAAUACCUGAGCUUCUAUCUGAAGCUCUCUCUUUAUACACGUGUACAUACGUAUAUAUAUUCUGUCCUGUGAACUCUAGCCAUCUGAACUCUCCUUAACUGCCAGCUCUAUCUUCUCAACUCAGGGAGACUGGUGAACUUCACUUGUGUUCUUCCUCACCUGUGCUGUGACCUAAAAACUCUAGGAAGUAUGUGGGAGCAAUUACAAAAGGCUGCCUUCUCACUGUGACCUCAGAUAGUCUUUUCUCUCUAUUGUGUGUAUGCAUGACCCUGGUGUCUCUCUGUGUGUCCAAAUGUACUCUUCUUAUAAGGACAAAUCAGAUUAAAUUAGGGUCUACUCUAAUUGCUUCAUUUUAACCUAAUCACCCUUUUAAAGACCUUAUCUUCAAAUCCAGUCCUACAGGUUAAGACUUCCACGUAUGAAUUUGUGGGGGUGAAUGGGCACAAUUUAGCCCAGAACAACAUUUGUUUUCUUUCUCUCAUGGAUCACUACUCUGUCUGAUAUCUCAAAACUAUUAUUUCAUAUGUUUUGCCCAAAUUUUAAGUUGUUUCAGGAGAGAGGUUAAAUCCAGUACCUGUUACAUCAUCUCAGCUAGAAGUGAAAUUCUGAAACUGUUAAUUUUAAAAUGGUACAAUUUGUUGAUUUUUUUCUUGCUUAUCCCAAGUUGCUUUUUUCUUGAGUAUCCCAAGAUAUUCUUUUAUAUCAUUUUCUAAAAGGUUUAUAUCAUGGCCUCUCCUGGUUAAGUAGUUAAUCUACCUGGAAUUGAUUUUUGUUUAUGGUGUAAUAUUGGAAUCCAGUUGCAUUUUUUUCCUCAUAAGGAUAUCCAAUUAUGUCAGCAUUAUUUUCUAAAAGGUCAAUUCUAUUUCCCCCUUUCUAUGAAGAAUAUUCUUAUCAUAAAUCAAGUGUUUAUAAAUGUGAGAAUUUGAUUCUUGCCCUCUAUUCUGUUCCACUAGUAUAAUUUUUAUUCCUGCAAUAUUAUUCCAAAUAAUCCUAUAUGCUCUUAUUUACAAAUAAAAGUUUGAUAAUAUCAAUUGCUAAUGAGGAUGUACAGGAAAAGCAAUACUCAUAAAUGUUAUUGAGAAUAGAAUCCGUAUGAUCACUGUUUUUGUUUCUUAAGGCUGCCAUAACAAAUUACCAUAGCUGAGUGACUUGAAAUAACAUUAUUUUCUCAUAGUUCUGGAGGCCAGAAGUCCAAGAUCAAGGUUUCAGCAGGGCCAGACCGUUCCUGAAGGCUCUAGAGAAGAAUCUUGCUAUGCUUAUGGUUGCCAGAAAUGUAGCUACAUCACUCCAAUUUCUGCCUGUCUUCACUUGGCCAUCUUUCCUCUGGGUAUGUCUCCUGGUCUCCACAUCACUCUCUCCUUAUAAGGAUCCUAGUCAGUGGAUUCAGUAUCUAUCCUAAUCUAGUAUGACCUUAUCUUAACUUGAUUACAUCUACAAAGACCCAAUUUUCAAAUAUGGUUACAUUCACAGGUAUCAGGUGUUAGCACUUUGACAUAUCUCUUUGGGGGACAAAAUUCCAACCACAAAAAUUACUUGGAAAAAUAAUACGACAUUUAUUAAUAGAGUUGAAUGCAUACAUAACCUAAGACUAGCAAGCAAUUCCAUUCUUAAAUAUAUAAGCGACACAAUCCCUACAUGCACCAGACUGUAAGAAUAUGUUUAGCAAUAUCAUUUAUAUGUUAUAUAAAGGUGAUAGGGAUAAACAAAUUCUGACAUAUUUGUGUAGUGAAAUACUGCAAUGCAAUGAAAAGGAACAAACUAUACAUAUAGUCACCAACUUAAAUGAAUCUUAUAAACAUACUGUUUGGCAAAAAAAUACUAGUCACAAAAGAACACAUAGAGUAUAAUUCUACUAAAAUUAGCAAUCUGUGCCAAUAUUUCAGGCCACAAUGUGUAAUUUAAAGAAAUUCAUACAAGAAGUUUGACAUGAAGAUGUAAGUAUUAAUUCUCUGCUAAUUCAAGCUGUCUUGAAGAGAAAAGAGUUUUGCACUUUCCAAAGAGUCUGACAGGUUGGUUCAUCCAAAGUAGAGGUCAGCAAACUUUUUCUGUAAAAAAACAGACAGUAAAAGCAACCAUAGACAUUACAUAAGAGAAUGAGCAUGGCUGGAUUCCAAUACAGCUUUAUUUACAACAAUAGACAGUGGGCUGCAUUUGGCCCACAGACCAUAAUUAGUUUCCUCAUGAUCAAAAGCACAGAUAAAAUUAUGUUGUCAACAACCCAUGACACCCUGCUCAAAAGCCUUUACUUUAUUUAUUUGUUCUUUCUGCCAAAUUAAGUCCAAUCUCCUUACCUUCCAUUCAAAGCACAGCAAGAUUUUGGGUCCCGGCCUAUGUCUCCAACCUCAUUUUUCUCCUCCACUCCUCAAUCACAAAUUUGAAUUUGAAUCAAGUUGGGGUCUUAGGCACUCUCUCAACAUUUCCUCAUGCUCUUCGUCCAUGCUCACACUGUUCCCAUCAAAUGGAAUAUUCCCAUAAGAACAAAACCAUGUCUACAUUCUGCUCAUCCUUCCAGAGGUAGCUCACAUAUGCUGCUUCCCCAGUAAUAACUAUUUAAAUCAUUUGAUCCAAAUUUCUCUUCUCGAUUUCCAUAACACUUAUUCCUUUCAUAUCUCCUUUAAGACUGUUUUCUCCCCUUAUUUUGUUGAGGUAUAAUUUACACAUACUAAAAUCCACCCAUUUAAAGUGCAUAGUUGAUGAAUUUUGACAGCUGCAUACAAUUGUAUAAUCACCAUCACAACCAAGAUAUAAAACACUUCUAUAAUCUCAAAAAAGGUUUUUUGUGCCCCUUUGAAGUUGACCCCCUCCUCCAAACUCUGGGUAAACUCUGUUCCUUUUUGUCAUUAUAGUUUUGCCUUUUCUAGAUUCUCCUAUAAGUGGAACCAUAGAGGAUAUGUCUUUUUUUAAUAUAUGACUUUCAGUUAGGAUAAAGUUUCUGAGGUUCAUCCAUGCUGUUUUUGAACAUAUUUUGUUCCUUUUUAAAGAGAUAUACCACAAACUUUAUUAGUAGACAGACAUUUGAAUUGCUCCUAUUUUUAAUUCCAAUGAAUAGUGCUGCUAUGAACAUUUGCAAACAGAUCUUUGUGCGGACAUGUGUUUUCAUGUUACUUUGGCCAAUACCUAGGAGUGAAAUUGCUGGGUCAGAUGAAAACACCAGACUGUUUCCCACCAUCGUCACAUGAGAGUUCCAGUUGCUCCCCAUCCUCAUUAGCCCUUGGUCAUCAGUCUUUAAUUUUUUCAUACUAGUCGCCGUUGUGGUGUCUCAGUACACUCUUCAUUUGCGCGUCCCUAAUGACUAAUUGUGUUGAGUUACUUUUCAUGGUGUUUACUAGCCAUGUGUAUCUCUUCUUGGGUGAAAUGCCUAAGUGUUUUGCCCAGUGUUAAAAUCGGGUUGUUCUUGAGUUGUAAGAGUGCUUUAUAAAUUCCAGAUAAAAGUCCUUUGUCGGAUAGGUUUUGCACAUAUUUUCUCUUGCUCUGUGGCUUGCCUUUUUGUUUCCUUGGAUAUUUUUCUCCACGAAAAAGAAAUUAAAUUGAAUGAAGUUCAUCCUUCCUGUUAUUUGUAAACUCCAUAAGGGUAGGGAUUGUGAGUUACACAUCUUACGUGUCAAUAUAUGAUAAUAAGACUGGGAACUAAUUAUGUAAUGGGCACUAAGAUUUGUUUUAUAUAUUUCUUUGCAUUUGAUUGUUACCCACCUGUAAGUAGGUGUUCUUGUCCUCACUGUGGUGCUGUGGAGAUGAAAGCACUGAGAGGUGUCGUAACUUCAUCAGUUAAAUGACUAGUAAGAAAUGGGGCCAGAAUUCAAACCAGGGUCUUCUGUUUGACCUUGAAGUCCAUGCUCUUAGACAUUAGGAUGCCUCCCUUUGUUGGAUGACUAGGUAUAUGAGUGAAUGAAUGCUGCCUUAUUUGUUCUUAAAGAUUACGUGUGUGUGUGCACAUGCAUUAGUAGUAGGCUUUGUACGCAUUAAAAACUCUGCAACAAUUCAAAGGACUGAAAAUAGUGAUUAGCCAUGAUGGGAAGAGAAAGUUGGGGAAGCAAAAGUAGGAAAGAAAGUUACCAUGUUUUACAUCUUUCAUUUUUGAACCAGAUGAAUGUAUUAUGUAGUAUAUCAACCUAUUAAAAGAAAAAUGAAGCCCCAUAUUUAGGACAAUGACAUAUAUUAGAAAUCAAUAGAAAAAUAGCUUAUACAUUUUAUUAAGGGAAUAGUUACUAAUGAUUCUGCAAGAGAGAGAGAGAGAAAGAAACCAUUACAUUGCUGUGUCUUCAGAGUAGAGGAUUUCUCUUACAAUAUUUUAAAUUUGAAGCUUCCACAUGUGACUGUAGACAUGCUUGCAAAUUUAGGCCAAGGGCAAGAAGUCAUACCUUCAAAAUUCCCUUUUCAUUCACCAUGUUAGUUCUUUUUUUUCCAACAUUUAUUUUUUAUUUUUUGAGACAGAGAGAGACAGAACAUGAACAGAGGAGGGUCAGAGAGAGGGAGACACAGAAUCUGAAACAGGCUCCAGGCUCUGAGCUGUCAGCACAGAGCCCGAUGCGGGGCUCGAACUCACGGACCGCGAGAUCAUGACCUGAGCUGAAGUUGGCUGCUCAACCGACUGAGCCACCCAGGCGCCCCAAAACCACCAUGUUAGUUCUAAUGUGUGGUAGCCAAGCCCAUCUUCCUGUGGGGCCCUCAACAAAGGAAGAGUCAAUUACUGUUAAAAGCUUUGGGUUAUUAACAUAGAAUUUGUACUUGUAGUUGCCUGCUCCCCAGAUUCACAGAAGGACAAAAUUACAAUGAAUUUUGAAAGACUCCCCCGCAACUAAUGAAAAUACAAUUAAUGAAAACAGAAGACCUCACUGGCCUUAAUGAGAAGGCCUGAGAUGGAUUUAAUUGCUGGGCCUACCCCAAAUGCUCUGUUAGAUUCACACCGUGGAAGAGCCAACAUGGAUAUAGUGGAGCGUGGACACGACAUCAAUAAGACAUGUCAAAGCUAUUCAUCACUUUGACGUUUCAUGAAAGCCCUGACAGAAACCACGCAGUCGCUCAUGACUGGUUGGAUAUCUUGCUAUGUUCCUAAGGCAGCUUCUGCAGACUUGAAAGAGAAGGCAAAAGAGUGCCAGCAUGUCUUUGUCCUCUCGUUCCAGCUCCCUGGCUGCCUGGAUCACAGCAUGCAUUAUCUGGAUCGAAGGGAUGACGCUUGUCCAGAAGGCUGGAUGCACAGGUGGAAGAUGCCGCAGCCGGCACCAGUGACACCUGAAGAAUGAGCCAGGUGGAGAUGAGCUAAAAAGGAAAGGGAGCUUUCGGAGUGGGCCUAGGGAGAACGGUGGUUGGGGGUAUUUAUAUAGAAGGGAUGGAUAGUGAAGUCAUUAAUGAUUCUGAGAGAGACAGAGAGGGAGAGAGAAAUCAUCGCAAGCACCCCACGCCCAGGGCCUACAUUGUAGAGAGUAAACACUGCACACAGAGUACAUUUCCCUGAUAGGAAGCUCUGUGCAAAGGUCCCAAAGCAAUUCCUUAAAAGUCCUAUGUCAUGAGGAGCUUAGAAAGAUCUAGACAUGGAAAUGUAGCAAUGGCCGUAAUGGGUAUAAUAAACCCCAUUGGCUGGCCUGAGUUUUAACUCCCUGCAAUGGCGGUUCUCUUCAGAUAAGGAGCGCUGAGCAACCUUUUCCUUCCUUAGGUCUUUAUAGGGGUAUCUUAUUAUAUAGUAAUAAUAGCCUGCGCAGUGCAGAAAAGCACAGUAAAAGAUAAGUGCUCAUAAGCAGUAUGGUGCAGUAAUUAAGAGCCCAGGAUCUGGUAAAAAUCUCAGCUCUGUCACUUUCUACCCUUAAGGUGAUAGGACAAGCUAAUUAAUUACUUUGCACCUCAAUCUUCUCAUCUCAAAAAUAGAAAUAAUAAUGAAAAUAAUAGUAUUUGUUUCUAUAAUAAUAGAUAUAUUAGAUAUAUAUAGAUAUAUCUAUAUAAUAGAUAUAUAUAUCUAUUAUAUAAUAAUAGAUAUAUAUAAUAAUAUAUUAUUAUUAAUAUAAUAUUAUAAUAUAUAAUUAUAUAUUAUAUAUACUAUAUAAUAAUAUAUAUUAUUAAUAUAAUAAUAUAAUAAUAAUAUAAUAAUAAUAAUAAUAUAGAUAUAUCUAUAUAAUAGAUAUAUUAUAUAUAACAUAAUAGAUCAGUUGUUGUGGAAGAGAAACAAGGUAAGUAUAUAAUGUGCUUAGCAUGACCCUGGAAAACAGAAAGCUUCCAAUAAACUCUAGCAGUCAUUGUGGUUACCAUUGUUAUUACUAAUUUUAUUACCAAUAAAUUACCAAUACCAAUUACCAAUAUUAUUACCAUUAAUAAUAUUAAUAUUAUUAUGACUCCAGCUUAUCUUCUACUUCCCAUAUUUAAUCUGUUAACAAAUCAUUCAAUAUAAAAUCUGAUGUCUACCUUGGCCCAGAUUUUUGUCAUCUUGACUGAAAAUAUAUAUGCCUGUUGGUCCCCAGUCUCUUUCUUCUUCAUCUCAAACUUUUGACCAAGCGUACAUCCGGAGGUAAGUAUAUGGCGAAUACACUUGUCAUUUACAUUAUCUGACAGUGUGAAUAUUUGCUUCCCAGAAGCCUGAUAUGGAAAACACAUAGCACCGCUAAAAGCAUUAAAUAAAAUAGAGUUGAUAUGGUUACACUAAUCUGCACUUUCUAAAUUUAUUGAUGGAGGCAAAGAAAAUAGGCUGGCGUGGAUUUCGUACAAUUUUGGAUCACACUAACCUAGAUUCAAACAGUUCGUUCAGCUAAAAAUAUUGUUUCCUCCCAUGAGGUUCCCAAUUUUGCAGAGAAAGAUGCCUCUGAGAAGUACAUUACUUGAUACAGUGAGUGGUCUUGCAUUCUGGAGGAGAAAUUACACAAGGACAUCACCACCACAUUCUCCAGAAGUAGAGAUUCUUUGGCACUGAGUCCCAACCGACGUAGGGUCCCCUGAAGUACAGAACAAAUGAUACCAGCAGUGCAGCCAGCCUCGGUGGAGUUGACGACAGAGGGUGUCUUUGUGUGGUUAAUGUUGACUUCCUUUUGUGGCCAGGCCCACUGAGUUGGGGGUGACAGAAGGCAAGAAAGAAACCAGACCCACAAUUAACAGAUGGCUGACCCAAGCCCAAGGGGGAAAGAAACCACCUCAGAAGCCUCACAGAAAAUAUUUGCUUGGGAGGCUCUUCCUUAGAAGGAUGCUGAGGGUUGUUAAAUGUAUCCUGCUGUUAGGCAAGUGAGAAUUUUACUUGUUUCUUACACAGAAAGAAACACCAGGAAGAAAAGCCCUGCUCUUAAGAACAGUUUUUUUUUUUGUUUUUUUUUUUUACGUUCCCCCCACCCCAAGAACAGUUUUUUUUUUUUCAACGUUUAUUUAUUUUUGGGACAGAGAGAGACAGAGCAUGAACGGGGGAGGGGCAGAGAGAGAGGGAGACACAGAAUCGGAAACAGGCUCCAGGCUCUGAGCCAUCAGCCCAGAGCCCGACGCGGGGCUCGAACUCACGGACCGCGAGAUCGUGACCUGGCUGAAGUCGGACGCUUAACCGACUGCGCCACCCAGGCGCCCCCAGUUUUUUAAUUAUAAAAGUAGAAAACAUGUUUCUUUCUAACACUUAACAUUGAACUUCCUUCAUCAUCCCAUAAGCAACCUUGCGGAUGUCAGGUGGCAAGUCCUCAGGGUCACCUAUACCCAUCCCUGUCUGCUCCCUCUUCAGCAGGGAGACAUCUCAAGCCACAUUUCAUUUCUGUAGUGUGGAGGCAAGUGUCACACAUUUUGUAGGUAAUUCAGUAGAUACCAGUGGGAUUAAUGUUUUAAAAUGAA